GAGUUUGAUCAUGGCUCAGGAUGAACGCUGGCGGCGUGCUUAACACAUGCAAGUCGAACGAACCUUCGGGUUAGUGGCGGACGGGUGAGUAACGCGUGGGAAUCUGCCCUCAGGAGGGGGAUAACGGUUGGAAACGACCGCUAAUACCCCAUAUGCCGAGAGGUGAAAUGAAUUUCGCCUGAGGAUGAGCCCGCGUCUGAUUAGCUUGUUGGUGAGGUAAUGGCUCACCAAGGCAUCGAUCAGUAGCUGGUCUGAGAGGAUGAUCAGCCACACUGGGACUGAGACACGGCCCAGACUCCUACGGGAGGCAGCAGUGGGGAAUUUUCCGCAAUGGGCGAAAGCCUGACGGAGCAACGCCGCGUGAGGGACGAAGGCCUCUGGGCUGUAAACCUCUUUUCUCAAGGAAGAAGAUAUGACGGUACUUGAGGAAUAAGCCACGGCUAAUUCCGUGCCAGCAGCCGCGGUAAUACGGGAGUGGCAAGCGUUAUCCGGAAUUAUUGGGCGUAAAGCGUCCGCAGGCGGCCUUUCAAGUCUGCUGUUAAAACGUGGAGCUUAACUCCAUCAUGGCAGUGGAAACUGAUUGGCUUGAGUAUGGUAGGGGCAGAGGGAAUUCCCGGUGUAGCGGUGAAAUGCGUAGAUAUCGGGAAGAACACCAGUGGCGAAGGCGCUCUGCUGGGCCAUUACUGACGCUCAUGGACGAAAGCCAGGGGAGCGAAAGGGAUUAGAUACCCCUGUAGUCCUGGCCGUAAACGAUGAACACUAGGUGUCGGGGGAAUCGACCCCUUCGGUGUCGUAGCUAACGCGUUAAGUGUUCCGCCUGGGGAGUACGCACGCAAGUGUGAAACUCAAAGGAAUUGACGGGGGCCCGCACAAGCGGUGGAGUAUGUGGUUUAAUUCGAUGCAACGCGAAGAACCUUACCAGGGCUUGACAUCCUGCGAACCUUUAAGAAAUUAGAGGGUGCCUUCGGGAACGCAGUGACAGGUGGUGCAUGGCUGUCGUCAGCUCGUGUCGUGAGAUGUUGGGUUAAGUCCCGCAACGAGCGCAACCCACGUUUUUAGUUGCCAGCAUUUAGUUGGGCACUCUAGAAAGACCGCCGGUGAUAAACCGGAGGAAGGUGUGGAUGACGUCAAGUCAUCAUGCCCCUUACGUCCUGGGCUACACACGUACUACAAUGCUACGGACAAAGGGCAGCAAACUCGCGAGAGCUAGCAAAUCCCAUAAACCGUGGCUCAGUUCAGAUCGUAGGCUGCAACUCGCCUACGUGAAGUAGGAAUCGCUAGUAAUCGCAGGUCAGCAUACUGCGGUGAAUACGUUCCCGGGCCUUGUACACACCGCCCGUCACACCAUGGAAGUUGGCCACGCCCGAAGUCGUUACUUUAACCCUUGUGGAGAAGGACGCCGAAGGUGGGGCUGAUGACUGGGGUGAAGUCGUAACAAGGUAACC
rnacentral:rRNA from 1 species